CUCUGGAAUAUUUGUUUUCUGUCCCAGAUUCCCAGAUAAGCAGUGAGUUGCUGGCCUCGCUGGAGUGACCGCCGGAGGCGGGGACUGCGGGCGCCGGGUGACCUCAGGGGGCAGGCGCUGGGCCAUGCAGGGACUGGGCUACAUCUUUUCAGGAAAGAGUUACUGCUCUGGGAGUCAUUGCAGUUACUGGCAUUGGAAGAGUUAAGAUUUAACUAGUACAAUCUCAUAUACCUGCAAAAUCUCAUCAUGGCUGCUCUUUGCUGAGUACUGACAUUCUUGCGACUUGGCUGUAGCAUCCCAGCUUUGAGUUGUGGUCCUGCUGAGGAAAAAUUCUUGUCUGUAAGGUGCUUGUCUGUGGUUUCCUAGUGGGUUCCUUGCUAGUUCGGAGACUAUGACCACUGCUGAUGGAAUAUAUGCUCUGGAAAGAAUGCACCAAGGGAAGCGACGGAAAGUAACAUUUAUUAGUUUCCAAUUCUGGAUC